rnacentral:rRNA from 1 species
UACGUAGGGUGCAAGCGUUGUCCGGAAUUAUUGGGCGUAAAGAGCUCGUAGGCGGUCUGUCGCGUCUGCUGUGAAAACUCGGGGCUUAACCCCGGGCCUGCAGUGGGUACGGGCAGACUAGAGUGCGGUAGGGGAGACUGGAAUUCCUGGUGUAGCGGUGAAAUGCGCAGAUAUCAGGAGGAACACCGGUGGCGAAGGCGGGUCUCUGGGCCGUAACUGACGCUGAGGAGCGAAAGCAUGGGGAGCGAUCAGG